GUCGACGUGGCGCAGUGGUUACCGCGGCGGCCUGCUAGAGCCUUAACAUCUCAGUUCACUGAGGUUUGAUCUCUCAAAUAGGAGAGCCGUUUCCUUCGGGUUCCUCGGUUCGAAUCCGGGCGUCGACG
rfam:Penicillium decumbens strain IBT 11843 PENDEC_contig016, whole genome shotgun sequence.